rnacentral:rRNA from 1 species
AGCUACGACCAUAUCUGGGUGGAAACAGCGCCUCUCGUCCGAUCGACGGUACUUAAGCACCCAAGAGCCUGAUUCAGUACUACGGUGGGAGACUACGUGGGAACGGCAGGUGUUGUAGUUU